rnacentral:rRNA from 1 species
UACGUAGGUGGCAAGCGUUAUUCGGAAUUACUGGGCGUAAAGCGCGCGUAGGCGGCUCUUCAAGUCAGACGUGAAAGCCCCGGGCUUAACUCGGGAACUGCGUUUGAUACUGUCGAGCUAGAGUGUGGAAGGGGCGAUUGGAAUUCCGUGUGUAGCGGUGAAAUGCGUAGAUAUACGGAGGAACACCAGAGGCGAAGGCGGAUCGCUGGGCCAACACUGACGCUGAUGUGCGAAAGCUAGGGGAGCAAACGGG